rnacentral:snRNA from 1 species
GUGCCUGCCUCGGCAGCACAUACACUAAAAUUGGAAUGAUAUAGAGAAGAUUAGCAUGGCCCCUGUGCAAGGAUGACACGCAAAUUCAUAAAGCGUUCCACAGUUUU